CUUUGCUAUUUUGCAGCCACCACGAACUGCAGGCCUGCCAUGCCACCCUGCCUUGGAGCCAAUUGAGUAUGGACUAGAACCUCCAAAAACUCAAUGAGACAAAAGUAACUAAGGAUGGCACUGAAUCAGAGAUCUUGACUCCACUGUCUACAUCCAUCAGAGACCAGUGAUCUGACUGCUUCCACAUGUACCAUGUGAUCUGGGACAGGGCUUCACUUGAACCAUUUCCAGUGUCUGGAGUUUAUACACAGAAGGACCUCUUAAACAGGGUGUGAAAGACCCUGUGUCAUCCUCCCCCAGGCCCAAAUGUGAAUGAGAUAUGGCAGUCAUCAAGGAAGCAAAGAAUAACAAAAUCUGGAAGAACUAUCAGGGGAAAAGGAACUCUUCUACAUUGUUACUGGAAACACAAACUAGUAUAAGUACUGUGAAAACCAGUGUGAAGAUUCCUUAAAAAACUAAAAAUAGAAAUCCCGCUUGAAAUUCCCAGAUAUUCUCCUCCUAGAAAUCUUCCCCAGUGUUAAAAACACACCACAGUGAUACUUGCAUAUAAGUCAUAGUAGCUUCAGCAGCACAAGUUACAAUAGCUAAUUCCCAUGAAUAGAUGAAUGGCUCAAACAAAUAUAGCAUUUUUACACAAUCGAAACUGCUCUGUUGUAAAGUGGAUACAUUUGAGCCAUUUGUAGAUAAAUAGAUAUACUUUCAGACCAUAAUAUUAAGUGCAAAAAAUCAAACACAUAAGCAUAAAUAUCAUGUGGUUUCUCCUAUGUGAGAAACCCAAAAUAUAAAAUAAAGAGCAAAAUAAAAGCUAGAUAACAAGAGUAGGAAGACUUUUUUUUAAAUGGGGAAGGGUACAAAAGGUGGAGGGGCUGCGAGGGAAAGAGGAUAAAAAUAUAUUGAAAGAGAAGAAUAAAUGGAAAUACAUUUUUUGCAAAUGGGAAGAAAAUCAUAAGAUAGAAGGAGCAGGGAGCUAGUGGUAAGGUACAGGCUGAAAAAAUAAUUAAAAUGUGUUAUGUACAGGUACCCCACUCAUCAGAAUCAUCAGCAGCAGCAGCAUCAGUGUAAUCAUAUGCA